rnacentral:lncRNA from 1 species
AACAUCCAAACCUAUACAUAAAUACAGCAUAUAUAUAUAUAUAUAUAUAUAUAUAGAGUCUAGCUACUAUACUUUUAUGAGUAUAGAGUCUAUUGUACUCAUAAGUUUUUGGCCGUUAUAUCUGUCCUUUAAUCAAUUUCACCCGUUAGAUUAUACUAUUCAACCAACCACCCACUCAAUCCUAGGGGACCGACCCACUAUCAACUUAACCGUAACUACUUUUAUCUUAACCGCACAUUUUUUUCAUCUGAACGGUCGAAAACUUAUAAGUACAAAGGGCACUAUACUCAUAUGAGUAUAGUAGUCCCAGUCUAUAUAUAUAUAUAUAAUGUGUGUGUGUGUGUGUUUGUAUGCGUAAAAAUGG